GUGUCAGCAGCCGCGGUAAGACGAACCGUGCGAACGUUAUUCGGAUUCACUGGGCUUAAAGCGCGUGUAGGCGGGCCGGCACGUCGGAUGCUGAAAGCCCCCGGCUCAACCGGGGAACGGGCACCGAUACGACCGGCCUGGAGGGGGGUAGGGGGAGCCGGAACUUCCGGUGGAGCGGUGAAAUGCGUUGAGAUCGGAAGGAACGCCCGUGGCGAAAGCGGGCUCCUGGACCCCACCUGACGCUGAGACGCGAAAGCCAGGGGAGCAAACGGGAUUAGAAACCCCGGUAGUCC
rnacentral:rRNA from 1 species